GACGGAGGAUGCAAGUGUUAUCCGGAAUCACUGGGCGUAAAGCGUCUGUAGGUGGUUCGAAAAGUCCACUGUUAAAAAUUGAAGCUUAACUUCAAAGAUGCCGUGGAAACUUUCAAACUAGAGUGUGGUAGGGUAGAGGGAAUUUCCAGUGGAGCGGUGAAAUGCGUAGAUAUUGGAAAGACCACCGAUGGCGAAGGCACUCUACUGGGCCAUUACUGACACUGAGAGACGAAAGCUAGGGGAGCAAAUGGG
rnacentral:rRNA from 1 species